rnacentral:rRNA from 1 species
UACGUAGGAGGCGAGCGUUGUCCGGAUUUACUGGGCGUAAAGCGCGCGCAGGCGGCACUUCAAGUAAGGUGUGAAAUCUCCCUGCUCAACGGGGAGGGUGCACUUUAGACUGAGGAGCUAGAGGACGGUAGAGGGGGGUGGAAUUGCUGGUGUAGCGGUGAAAUGCGUAGAGAUCAGCAGGAACACCCGUGGCGAAGGCGGCCCCCUGGGCCGUACCUGACGCUGAGACGCGAAAGCCAGGGGAGCGAACGGG